rnacentral:rRNA from 1 species
UUUAUGGAGAGUUUGAUCCUGGCUCAGAGUGAACGCUGGCGGCGUGCCUAAUACAUGCAAGUCGAACGAUGAAGCUUCUAGCUUGCUAGAGUGCUGAUUAGUGGCGCACGGGUGAGUAACGCAUAGGUCAUGUGCCUCUUAGUUUGGGAUAGCCAUUGGAAACGAUGAUUAAUACCAGAUACUCCCUACGGGGGAAAGAUUUAUCGCUAAGAGAUCAGCCUAUGUCCUAUCAGCUUGUUGGUAAGGUAAUGGCUUACCAAGGCUAUGACGGGUAUCCGGCCUGAGAGGGUGAACGGACACACUGGAACUGAGACACGGUCCAGACUCCUACGGGAGGCAGCAGUAGGGAAUAUUGCUCAAUGGGGGAAACCCUGAAGCAGCAACGCCGCGUGGAGGAUGAAGGUUUUAGGAUUGUAAACUCCUUUUGUUAGAGAAGAUAAUGACGGUAUCUAACGAAUAAGCACCGGCUAACUCCGUGCCAGCAGCCGCGGUAAUACGGAGGGUGCAAGCGUUACUCGGAAUCACUGGGCGUAAAGAGCGCGUAGGCGGGAUAGUCAGUCAGGUGUGAAAUCCUAUGGCUUAACCAUAGAACUGCAUUUGAAACUACUAUUCUAGAGUGUGGGAGAGGUAGGUGGAAUUCUUGGUGUAGGGGUAAAAUCCGUAGAGAUCAAGAGGAAUACUCAUUGCGAAGGCGACCUGCUGGAACAUUACUGACGCUGAUUGCGCGAAAGCGUGGGGAGCAAACAGGAUUAGAUACCCUGGUAGUCCACGCCCUAAACGAUGGAUGCUAGUUGUUGGAGGGCUUAGUCUCUCCAGUAAUGCAGCUAACGCAUUAAGCAUCCCGCCUGGGGAGUACGGUCGCAAGAUUAAAACUCAAAGGAAUAGACGGGGACCCGCACAAGCGGUGGAGCAUGUGGUUUAAUUCGAGGAUACACGAAGAACCUUACCUAGGCUUGACAUUGAGAGAAUCCGCUAGAAAUAGUGGAAUGUCUAGCUUGCUAGACCUUGAAAACAGGUGCUGCACGGCUGUCGUCAGCUCGUGUCGUGAGAUGUUGGGUUAAGUCCCGCAACGAGCGCAACCCCCUUUCUUAGUUGCUAACAGGUCAUGCUGAGAACUCUAAGGAUACUGCCUCCGUAAGGAGGAGGAAGGUGGGGACGACGUCAAGUCAUCAUGGCCCUUACGCCUAGGGCUACACACGUGCUACAAUGGGGUGCACAAAGAGAAGCAAUACUGCGAAGUGGAGCCAAUCUUCAAAACACCUCUCAGUUCGGAUUGUAGGCUGCAACUCGCCUGCAUGAAGCUGGAAUCGCUAGUAAUCGCAAAUCAGCCAUGUUGCGGUGAAUACGUUCCCGGGUCUUGUACUCACCGCCCGUCACACCAUGGGAGUUGUGUUUGCCUUAAGUCAGGAUGCUAAAUUGGCUACUGCCCACGGCACACACAGCGACUGGGGUGAAGUCGUAACAAGGUAACCGUAGGUGAACCUGCGGUUGGAUCACCUCCUUUCUA